rnacentral:rRNA from 1 species
UACGGGGGGGGCAAGCGUUGUUCGGAGUUACUGGGCGUAAAGGGCUCGUAGGCGGCCAACUAAGUCGGAUGUGAAAUCCCCAGGCUUAACCUGGGAACUGCAUCCGAUACUGGACGGCUUGAAUCCGGGAGAGGGAUGCGGAAUUCCAGGUGUAGCGGUGAAAUGCGUAGAUAUCUGGAGGAACACCGGUGGCGAAGGCGGCAUCCUGGACCGGCAUUGACGCGUGAGGAGCGGAAAGCCAGGGGAGCAAACGGG